rnacentral:lncRNA from 1 species
GGUGUGUGAUAAACUUUUGAAAGAAUAUAAUUCUACUCAUAACGCAGGCAGAAGAGCUGACCACGGAGAUCUUGUGAUAUGCUCUGCCUGUUGUGAUACGUUAAGUUGUAACAAAAAGAAAUGCAAUGAAGUUAUUAAAAGUAAGUUGCUAUAAAGGGCAAUGCAAACAGUUUUGAAAUAUUAACAAAAAGAUAGGGGUAUACAAAAUGGAAUAAAUCCGGAAUAGAACAUAUAAAUGGGGUAGCAUUUUAACAUCCACACUCGGAGAAAACUUUUAAAUUGUCAUACACUUAUUAUAAAGUAAUAAACAAUAACUUAAAAAGCGAUCAUCGGAGGAAUUUUUAAACGGAUUGUUCCUUAUCAAAUUUCAAAAAAUAAACUUCAAAAAAUAGAAAACUACUGUUCUAUUCCGUCCUUGUAACAUGUAUUUCCUCAUUUAGAGAAUGGUAUUAUACACUUGCUUUUAUAACUAGCUUAAUUAAUAACCAUUCAUUUAUAUGACAUUUGCAUGAAAUUCCUUGAUAUUGACGACAAUGUGUGAGCGAAACAAACAGACGAAAUACGUAAAAUGCCAGCGAUUGGGGUACAGCAGUCAACAAUAUGUUAUAGUUUUAACCACUAUAAAAAAAAACCUAAAAGCUUUGUCAACAAAAGAAAAUAAAAAAACCCGCCAUGUCUCUUUAUAGACAAAGCACAUAAUCAAACAUGAAAGACAAGUAUCCAAAAAGUGACCAUAGUACACGAAAUCAUCCUCUAAAUGACUAUGGUUAUGCAUGUUCAGGGAAUAAAUCAAUUUCGAAAACAGCAAACAAUGACAAAAUGAGUUUAGUGUACAAUGUCUUUUCUUUUUGCUUCAACUUUAAAGUAUAUUUUGAAUUGAAAAUGCAUUGGUGCUUAACACUGUUUUGUUUUUUGGUUGACAUGAACUGCCAAAAACUAAAAAUGAACUGUGGCUGAAAAGGUUAUUCAGUAACUUAAUUGAAGAAAAUUAAAAAAAAGGUAUAUAUAAAAAAGAAGAUGUGGUAUGAUUGCCAAUGAGACAACUAUCCACAAAAGACCAAAAUGACACAGACAUUAACAACUAUAGGUCACCGUACGGCCUUCAACAAUGAGCAAAGCCCAUACCGCAUAGUCAGCUAUAAUAGGCCCCGAUAAGACAAUGUAAAACAAUUCAAACGAGAAAACUAACGGCCUUAUUUAUGUAAAAAAUGAACGAAAAACAAAUAUAUAACACAUAAACAAACGACAACCAUAUGAUUGUCUUCGUAAAAUCCUGGUUGUCGUUUGUUUAUGUGUUACAUAUUUGUUUUUCGUUUAAUUUUUGUACAUAGAUUAGGCCGUUAGUUUUCUCGUUUGAAUUAAUUUACAUUGUCAUUUCGGGGCCUUUUAUAGCCGACUAUGCGGUAUGGGCUUUGUUCAUUGUUGAAGGCCGUACGGUGACCUAUAGUUGUUAAUUUCUGUGUCAUUUUGGUCUCUUGUGGAUAGUUGUCUCAUUGGCAAUCAUACCACGCAUCUUUUUUUUAUAUAUACAGUAUAAACACAAUCAAAGACACCUUUCUCUUCAGGUGUUCACAAGAAAUUAUUCUGUCUUAUUCUACAUUUCUAUUUACAUUUCAAUUGAGAGUAAUACAUUUUUAAUCAUAUUGCAUGUGUUUUCUUUUAUAGCUCAAAUAUGUUAUGAUACAAGUGUUUGUGGUUGAGAAGGACAAGAAAGGAUUACUUGCGCACUCAUUCUGCUUCAGUUCAACAUUGUAUAAUAAAAGUGUUUUGAAUUUCAUACUUACAUGUUUGGCCUCUAAACCAAUUGGAACCACACUUUUAAAAAUUUUGAAAAGGAAAAUGACGAAAACAAUCAAAUAACUCAAAACAGACGUAACGAUUACACUAUUGUCAAAAGAUGAAACAAAUCUAA